GAUGAACGCUGGCGGCGUGCCUAAUACAUGCCAGUCGAGCGAACAGACGAGGAGCUUGCUCCUCUGACGUUAGCGGCGGACGGGUGAGUAACACGUGGAUAACCUACCUAUAAGACUGGGAUAACUUCGGGAAACCGGAGCUAAUACCGGAUAAUAUAUUGAACCGCAUGGUUCAAUAGUGAAAGACGGUUUUGCUGUCACUUAUAGAUGGAUCCGCGCCGCAUUAGCUAGUUGGUAAGGUAACGGCUUACCAAGGCAACGAUGCGUAGCCGACCUGAGAGGGUGAUCGGCCACACUGGAACUGAGACACGGUCCGGACUCCUACGGGAGGCAGCAGUAGGGAAUCUUCCGCAAUGGGCGAAAGCCUGACGGAGCAACGCCGCGUGAGUGAUGAAGGUCUUCGGAUCGUAAAACUCUGUUAUUAGGGAAGAACAAAUGUGUAAGUAACUAUGCACGUCUUGACGGUACCUAAUCAGAAAGCCACGGCUAACUACGUG
rnacentral:rRNA from 1 species